rnacentral:rRNA from 1 species
GGAUUCCCCUAGUAACGGCGAGUGAAGCGGGAAAAGCUCAAAUUUGAAAUCUGGCGGUCUACGGCCGUCCGAGUUGUAGUCUAGAGAGGUGUCUUCUGCGUCGGACCAUGCACAAGUCCCUUGGAACAGGGCGUCAUAGAGGGUGAGAAUCCCGUCCGUGGCAUGGACUCCCGGUGCUUUGUGAUGCGCCUUCGAAGAGUCGAGUUGUUUGGGAAUGCAGCUCAAAAUGGGUGGUAAAUUCCAUCUAAAGCUAAAUACAGGCGAGAGACCGAUAGCGAACAAGUACCGUGAGGGAAAGAUGAAAAGCACUUUGGAAAGAGAGUUAAACAGUACGUGAAAUUGUUGAAAGGGAAACGCUUGGAGUCAGUCGCGUUUGCCGGGACUCAGCCUUGCUUCUGCUUGGUGCACUUCCUGGUACACGGGCCAGCAUCGAUUUUGAUCGCCGGAAAAAGGCUUGGGGAAGGUGGCACCUUCGGGUGUGUUAUAGCCCCUUGUUGUAUACGGUGGUUGGGAUUGAGGACCGCAGCACGCCUUUUGGUCGGGGUUCGCCCACGCCACGUGCUUAGGAUGCUGGCGUAAUGGCUUUAAACGACCCGUCUUGAAACACGGACCAAGGAGUCUAACAUGCCUGCGAGUGUUUGGGUGUAAAACCCAGGCGCGUAAUGAAAGUGAAAGGUUGGGACUCUUCGCUGAGGCACCGACGCCCGAUCCUGACGUUCUCUGACGGAUUUGAGGUAGAGCAUGUAUGUUGGGACCCGAAAGAUGGUGAACUAUGCCUGAAUAGGGCGAAGCCAGAGGAAACUCUGGUGGAGGCUCGUAGCGAUUCUGACGUGCAAAUCGAUCGUCAAAUUUGGGUAUAGGGGCGAAAGACUAAUCGAACC